rnacentral:rRNA from 1 species
CCUACGGGAGGCAGCAGUGGGGAAUAUUGCACAAUGGGCGCAAGCCUGAUGCAGCCAUGCCGCGUGUAUGAAGAAGGCCUUCGGGUUGUAAAGUACUUUCAGCAGUGAGGAAGGUGGGUAUGUUAAUAGCAUAUUCAUUUGACGUUAGCUGCAGAAGAAGCACCGGCUAACUCCGUGCCAGCAGCCGCGGUAAUACGGAGGGUGCGAGCGUUAAUCGGAAUUACUGGGCGUAAAAGCGCAUGCAGGUGGUUUGUUAAGUCAGAUGUGAAAGCCCGGGGCUCAACCUCGGAAUUGCAUUUGAAAACUGGCAAACUAGAGUACUGUAGAGGGGGUAGAAUUUCAGGUGUAGCGGUGAAAUGCGUAGAGAUCUGAAGGAAUACCGGUGGCGAAGGCGGCCCCCUGGACAGAUACUGACACUCAGAUGCGAAAGCGUGGGGAGCAAACAGGAUUAGAUACCCUGGUAG